rnacentral:rRNA from 1 species
CUUGACCUCGGAUCAGGUAGGGAUACCCGCUGAACUUAAGCAUAUCAAUAAGCGGAGGAAAAGAAACCAACAGGGAUUGCCCUAGUAACGGCGAGUGAAGCGGCAA